ACCGGGUGCGUUGGCAUGUGCCUGUAAUCCAAGUCACUGGGAGGCUGAGGUUGGUGGAUCAAGUGAGCUGAGGAGCUCUGGGCUGCAGCACGCUAUGUCGAACGGGUGUCCACGCCAAGUUCGGUAUCGAUAUGGUGUUCCUGGGGGAGCCCGGGACCACCAGGUUGUCUAAGGAGGGGUGAACCGGCCCAGGUCGGAAACGAAGCAGGUCAAAUCACCCGUGCUGUCCAGUAGUGGGAUAAUACCUGUGAGUAGAUGCUGCAGUGCAGCCUUGGCAAAACAUUGAGACCUAGUCUUUU
ensembl:misc_RNA Metazoa_SRP Metazoan signal recognition particle RNA